UUUUGUCUUUAUAAUAGCCAUCUAAAUAAGUGUGAAGUGGGAUCUCAUUGUGGUUUUGAUUUGCAUUUCCCUAAUGAUUAAUGAUGUUGAACAUCUUUUCAGUGUGCA